CGCUGUAAACGAUGUCGAUUUGGAGGUUGUGCCCUUGAGGCGUGGCUUCCGGAGCUAACGCGUUAAAUCGACCGCCUGGGGAGUACGGCCGCAAGGUUAAAACUCAAAUGAAUUGGCGGGGGCCCGCACAAGCGGUGGAGCAUGUGGUUUAAUUCGAUGCAACGCGAAGAACCUUACCUACUCUUGACAUCCAGAGAACUUUCCAGAGAUAGAUUGGUGCCUUCGGGAACUCUGAGACAGGUGCUGCAUGGCUGUCGUCAGCUCGUGUUGUGAAAUGUUGGGUUAAGUCCCGCAACGAGCGCAACCCUUAUCCUUUGUUGCCAGCGGUUCGGCCGGGAACUCAAAGGAGACUGCCAGUGAUAAACUGGAGGAAGGUGGGGAUGACGUCAAGUCAUCAUGGCCCUUACGAGUAGGGCUACACACGUGCUACAAUGGCAUAUACAAAGAGAAGCGACCUCGCGAGAGCAAGCGGACCUCAUAAAGUAUGUCGUAGUCCGGAUUGGAGUCUGCAACUCGACUCCAUGAAGUCGGAAUCGCUAGUAAUCGUAGAUCAGAAUGCUACGGUGAAUACGUUCCCGGGCCUUGUACACACCGCCCGUCACACCAUGGGAGUGGGUUGCAAAAGAAGUAGGUAGCUUAACCUUCGGGAGGGCGCUUACCACUUUGUGAUUCAUGACUGGGGUGAAGUCGUAACAAGGUAACC
rnacentral:rRNA from 1 species